AAUCCGUGCUGUGGUCACCUCUGCAAAAGAUCCUUGAAGUGCUCCCAUAUCUCAAACAAUAACUCCAAUUCCAUCUAUACAAAUGACGAAAUCUCAUUGCCAAGCUU